GUGAAUCAUCAAAUCUUUGAACGCAAAUUGCACUCUCUUCGGAGAGUAUGCCUGUUUGAGGGUCAGCCUAAAAAAAAUCGACAUAGCUGCUUUUUUGCGGUGACAUUCGGCGGGAAUUGUGUCAUCUUAAACCUUUGGGUUUUUUAAGCCGCUUAAAAUUUUCUUUACGAUUCCACGAACGUUUCUAAUCGUUUACUUCUUACCCCCGUUUAAGGU
rnacentral:misc_RNA from 1 species